rnacentral:rRNA from 1 species
UACGAAGGGGGCUAGCGUUGCUCGGAAUCACUGGGCGUAAAGGGUGCGUAGGCGGGUCUUUUAAGUCAGGGGUGAAAUCCUGGAGCUCAACUCCAGAACUGCCUUUGAUACUGAGGAUCUUGAGUUCGGGAGAGGUGAGUGGAACUGCGAGUGUUAGAGGUGAAAUUCGUAGAUAUUCGCAAGAACACCAGUGGCGAAGGCGGCUCACUGGCCCGAUACUGACGCUGAGGCACGAAAGCGUGGGGAGCAAACAGG